rnacentral:rRNA from 1 species
CCUACGGGUGGCAGCAGUGAGGAAUAUUGGUCAAUGGACGCAAGUCUGAACCAGCCAUGCCGCGUGCAGGAUGACGGCUCUAUGAGUUGUAAACUGCUUUUGUACGAGGGUAAACCCCGAUACGUGUAUCUGGUUGAAAGUAUCGUACGAAUAAGGAUCGGCUAACUCCGUGCCAGCAGCCGCGGUAAUACGGAGGAUCCGAGCGUUAUCCGGAUUUAUUGGGUUUAAAGGGUGCGUAGGCGGUUUGAUAAGUUAGUGGUGAAAUGUUGGGGCUCAACCCCGAAAUUGCCACUAAUACUGUUGGUCUAGAGAAUAGUUGCGGUAGGCGGAAUGUAUGGUGUAGCGGUGAAAUGCUUAGAGAUCAUACAGAACACCGAUUGCGAAGGCAGCUUACCAAACUAUAUCUGACGUUGAGGCACGAAAGCGUGGGUAGCAAACAGGAUUAGAUACCCUAGUAGUC